rnacentral:rRNA from 1 species
CGGGACGGGGUGGAGUAAUGUCUGGGAAACGUGCCUGAUGAGGGGGAGUAACUACUGGAAACGGUAGCUAAUACCGCAUAACGUCGCAAGACCAAAGAGGGGGACCUUCGGGCCUCUUGCCAUCGGAUGUGCCCAGAUGGGAUUAGCUAGUAGGUGGGGUAACGGCUCACCUAGGCGACGAUCCCUAGCUGGUCUGAGAGGAUGACCAGCCACACUGGAACUGAGACACGGUCCAG